rnacentral:lncRNA from 1 species
ACAUAUAGAGUCACACUUGAUAUAGUGAGCUCUUAUUACUAUUUCAACCAGAACUAUGCCACUAUUAUAGGAAGAUGAUUUCUCGACCUUCUUUAAGUGCCCCUUUCAUAAUAUUUAUAUAAAUGUUUUUAGAGUUUAGAUUUUUGAUCCAAAGCCUUGAGCUUUCUUAUUUACUGAAGGUUGAGGUAGGAGAGGCAUGUACUCUGUGGUGUCCAGAAAAAUUAUCAUCCUCAUGGUGAUUGUGUCUGAAUAGGAUUCAAGUUUUUAGCAAUCAAGUAGCAUGCCACUUUUCAAAAUUCAUAUCUAUCAGAUGCUUUGAAUGUGAUCCAAGUUNNN